GACGAACGCUGGCGGCGUGCCUAAUCCAUGCAAGUCGAACGAGUGGCGGACGGGUGAGUAACCCGUGGGUAACCCACCCACAGUGGGGGAUAACACUUGGAACCAGGUGCUAAUACCGCAUACGACUCAAUGAGCCGAUGUCGGAUUCGCUAGUUGGCGGGGUAAAGGCCCACCAAGGCGACUAUCCGUAGCUGGUCUGAGAGGGUGAACAGCCACACUGGAACAGAGACACGGUCCAGACUCCUACGGGAGGCAGCAGUGGGGAAUAUUGCACGAUGGGCGCAAGCCGGAUGCAGCCAUGCCGCGUGUAUGAAGAAGGCCUUCGGGUUGAAAAGUACUUUCGGCGGGGAGGCGUUACCCGCAGAAGAAGCACCGGCUAACUCCGUGCCAGCAGCCGCGGUAAUUC
rnacentral:rRNA from 1 species